GCUGGCGGCGUGCCUAACACAUGCAAGUCGAACGAGAAAGUGGAGCAAUCCAUGAGUAAAGUGGCGCACGGGUGAGUAACACGUGACUGACCUACCUUUUAGUGGGGGAUAACCUAGGGAAACCUGGGCUAAUACCGCAUAACACUUACGAGUCAAAGUCCGCCUCGGCGGACGCUGAAAGAGGGGGUCGCGGCCGAUUAGCUAGUUGGCGGGGUAAUGGCCCACCAAGGCGAUGAUCGGUAUCCGGCCUGAGAGGGCGCACGGACACACUGGAACUGAAACACGGUCCAUACUCCUACGGGAGGCAGCAGUGGGGAAUUUUGCGCAAUGGGGGAAACCCUGACGCAGCAACGCCGCGUGGAGGAUGAAGUCCCUUGGGACAUAAACUCCUUUCAACCGGGAAGAUAAUGACGGUACCGGAAUAAUAAUCCCCGGCUAACUUCCUACCACCAGCCGCGGUAAUACGAGGGGGGCAAGCGUUGUUCGGAAUUAUUGGGCGUAAAGGGUGCGUACGUGGUUCGGCAAGUCUUGUGUGAAAUUUUCAGGCUCAACUUGAAGUCUGCACAACAAACUGCCGGGCUUGAGUAUGGGAGAGGUGAGUGGAAUUUCCGGUG
rnacentral:rRNA from 1 species